rnacentral:tRNA from 1 species
GCGGGUGUAGUUCAGUGGUAGAACACCAGCUUCCCAAGCUGGUAGUGUGGGUUCGAUUCCCAUCACCCGCUCCA